rnacentral:rRNA from 1 species
GUGGGGAAUAUUGGACAAUGGGGGAACCCUGAUCCAGCCAUGCCGCGCGUGUGAAGAAGGCCUUUUGGUUGUAAAGCACUUUAAGUGGGGAGGAGGCUUACCUGGUUAAUACCUGGGCUAAGUGGACGUUACCCACAGAAUAAGCACCGGCUAACUCUGUGCCAGCAGCCGCGGUAAUACAGAGGGUGCGAGCGUUAAUCGGAUUUACUGGGCGUAAAUAGCGCGUAGGUGGUCAAUUAAGUCAAAUGUGAAAUCCCCGAGCUUAACUUGGGAAUUGCAUUCGAUACUGGUUAGCUAGAGUAUGGGAGAGGAUGGUAGAAUUCCAGGUGUAGCGGUGAAAUGCGUAGUGAUCUGGAGGAAUACCGAUGGCGAAGGCAGCCAUCUGGCCUAAUACUGACACUGAGGUGCGAAAGCAUGGGGAGCAAACAGGAUUAGAAACCCGGGUAGUCC